UAGGCAUUAAUGAAUGUUUGGAGAGGAAGGCUAAAGCUAACGACUCCAAUGAAGAUAACAACCACAGAUGUGAGGACAAAAUCCGCAACUUAUUUUCAAUAGAUUUGGUUGGGGACAUAACAUAAAUAGAGUCGUACCCGAUGAAGCUACUACCAUACAUGCAUAUGAAAUACCAAAGCCAUUAGGUUUCACUAGCCAUUCAUUCUCAUUGGCAACUCUCGUCUUUUUGUUUUGUCUUUUUUCUUUUCCUUUUUCCAUAGUUGAAGUUUGAUAUUUUUUUAAAUUUUAUUUAGCCAGUAGCCUUGACUAAUUUAGUGAAAUACAAGGUAUAGAAAUGCAAUUUACUACAAGGUUAUUAGGCAUGCGAUUCUUAUCAUUUGCAGAAAUGAAGGUUUCCUCGGUAAGUACAAAAGACUCGGAACAACUUUGUUAGUAUGUCUCCUACUUUGAUUCACUGUAUGGCUAGAUAUGUUAACCUCAAUACAGAAAUUUUUCUGUUGCUCCAUUUGUCAUUUAUUUUCUUUUACAUUUUUAUUUCUAAUCUCUGAGAUGCUUUGCAUGUUAUAAGGUGUUCGACCCAGCAUAGCCAUAAGUUUUUCCGUUUAUGAGACUGUGAGAGCUUAUUGGGAUUCUCAAAGGUGAGUAUGUAGUCAGUGAUGUAAUUAGUGUUCCUGGUCAUUUCUUUGUCCUUCCUUUGGCUUCUUCACAAUGACUUGUUGCUUCUCUAUUAGGCCAAAUGAUUCUACUGCUAUGGUCAGCUUGCUUGUGGCAGCCUUUAUGGGAUUGCUUCAUGAAUACGUCAAUUUAUUUUUCAAGAAGAAAUACAUUUACCAGUUCUCCUGGGUGAGUGGUGCGUUUUUGAAGAAAGGUUGAAAGGGUGGCUUUGUUAUUAUUACUAACAUUCAAUAUCUGAUGCCUUUUAUGGGUGAAUACUCUCUAUUUGGAGAUGUUAAAAUUCAUUUCAAAUUUUAUUUGUGCAACUCGUUUGAGGUAAUAUCUUUUUUAUACUAAUGCCUAGAUUUUACGUGCAUUGCACGGGCAAACACUAGUUUUAGUCAAAAGAGGCUACCUAUGCUAUGACACAUGAAAACUUAUCCAGCAAGUAUUGGGAAUGUCACGGUCCCGUGACUUAUCUUAAGAUGUACUCUCAAUAAAAACUUUCUACUACCUUAUCCUUCUCGUUUACGGCCUCUCUUUCCACUUUCCAUGAAAAAAAGAAAAGAAAGAAAAAUUGUGGAAGCAGGGGUUACUGGGAGACUUAUACGUUAUUGAAUUUAAUAAAUUUAAAUUUAUACAUGUCUAUUUAGUCGUGUUUCGGUAAUUUGGUAAAUUGUGUGUCAUUCCCUAAGUUUAUCCUCAUCUGCACUUCUAUAUAUAUCCAUUUCUAUCCAAAAUUGACGUUAACAGGGCACAAGAAGAUGAAGUUACCCUUGAUUUUAAAUAGAAAUCUCAUCGCCUCAUGCCGAAGCUUUAGCAUUUCUACAGGGAUUAUUAUUUGUGAAGGAGACGGGAUAUUGGAUUAACAUAGAAGAAAGUGAUGUACUCUAAAUAUGCAAGGUGCCAAGUUUCUAAACCUGCCCUAUGGGCCCAUGCUUAUGUUCUACUGUGUUCCAAUAAACGAGUUAACAUAAAUAUCAUGAGGUCAAGUUGUGGUAGACAUUAAAUUCUACCACGUAUUUGAUUUUGAUGGGAAUUACACUUUUUCAGGAACAAAGUUAUUUUAUUCUGGAUUUUUUUAUGUAUGAAUCAACGUUCCUUUAUAAAACUCGAAUCCAGGUCAAUGACUUUGGUUAAGUUUCACUCUUACUACUUGAAUUAGGCCUUGACCUCAAUUUUUAUUG
rnacentral:lncRNA from 1 species